UAUGCACAAUGAUUACUGCAACCACCCUUCCCUGGAAAGUUGCUUUUCCUUUGAUAAUGCCUGGAAGACCCAAUUCACACAAGUAGGAAAGUCUCAGCCAGAUGACAGGAGCCUAAGAUUCCAAUGGUAUGCUCAGGACUGACAUCACCACAUCAGGACUGACACAUCAAGGAUUCAGCUGCAUGGUCCAGGCUGGGGAGGAUGUCAGGGAUUGGUGUGGCCAGGACCGAUGCAGCUAUGACUGGGGAUUUAUUUGGCAUAUUUGGACUAGGUGUGAUGAGACAGCAGCUGGCACUGUCAAUAGGUUGAGGGAGGGAGGAAGAAUGAACAAAUUAUUUAUUUAGGAUUAUGGGAGUCAGGUUUCUAUGAAAGAAGGAAGUUACAAAGAUGGAAGGGAAGACUAAAAUUAACCCCAAAGGAUUGAAGGUGUCGAUGUGAACUCAAAGUUUUCAAUACGUAUGUAUGUAAAUACAUAUAGAAGUAGGUGAAUAUUCUUACAUGUGUGUAGACACAUGUUUUUCUUUGAGCUGUUAACCAACAGGGCAGUGAGCCUUUCUCAGGUCUUCAUUUCCAUAUACCAUUCCCCAUUUAAAGAAACCAGGGCUCCUUGGAAAAAUGGCUAAUUCUAGACCUGGAGUAGGGAGUAGGAAAAAGUUUAAGAUGAGCUUAUAAAAAAAAAUAAGAGCCAAAAAAGGAAUGAGACAUCUGAAAGGAACACAGAAGCCAGCUGUGUUCCUUUGAGAUGAGAGACCCCCGAAAACCAAAUCUGGGAAAAUUUCAGCAUGAAAAUGAAUGACAGUAAUACAUUGUAACCUACUGAAUAAAGUGGGCAGUCAUGAGUCUACGCUGAUUUAAGUAAAUGAAUGAAUAGAGAAAGAAGAGCUCUUUCUUAUAGUAGUAGGAUGCCAACCAAAGCAGAAGUCAUAGACUCACCAGUUGACAACCAAAAUAGUAAUUGAUUCAGUCAGGUAUUGUCAACAGACUCAAACUAGCUGGUGAAAAUUUGAUGAGAAACAGGACACUUACAGUCUUUAAGAAUCUCCUCACAAAGUACUUCCUAAUUUUAAUUUUACAAUGGAGAAACAUAGUAGACACUAUCUGAACCAAGUGACCAAAAUUAAUACCUCCAGGAAUAGGACAAAUUGACAUUGUGUGCAUCUUGGCAUGACACAUUGAGAAUACAGCAUUGUUUCUGUGGUAGUGGACAAAACUGUCUAUCCUAAAUCUUACGGGAAACAUAGAUACACCCAAACUGAGGAAUAUUUUACAAACUGGCCAAUACUCCUCAAAAGUCAACGACAAGACUGAAAAGCUGUUCUGGACUGAGUGAAACAAGAGACAGGACAAAUAAAUGCACCAUGUGGUCAUGGAUUGGGAUGAUAGAACACAGGAACAUUACUGAGGCAAUCAGAAUCAGUAAAUUGAAUGUGGUCUAUGGAUUAGAUCUCAUUAUGAUGCCAAUGUCAGUCUCUUAAAUUUGAUGGUUGUACUAAGAUUAUGCAGGAAUGCCCUUAUCUUAAGGGAACACACACUAACAUAGAUAGAGGUAAUGGUGCAAGAAAUAUUUUGGCUGGGAUAACAUUGAAUUUAUAAAUAAAUGUCAAGUAAAUGAA